rnacentral:ncRNA from 1 species
UAAAUAUAGCGCCUGAACAUUCUUGGUUUUAUAAGUAUGUUGACGAGGUCUAGAGCUUAUCGAAAUAUUCGGCGGAUACUCUAGUGGCUUUGCUUAAGGUCAUAGUAUUAGUUAAAAAACAGUAGUGAUAUUGUAACAA